rnacentral:rRNA from 1 species
GACGUAGGAGGCGAGCGUUAUCCGGAUUCACUGGGCGUAAAGCGCAUGUAGGCGGUUUGUCAAGUCCGUUGUUAAAGCCCCCGGCUCAACUGGGGGAGGUCAAUGGAGACUGGCAGACUUGAGGGCAACAGAGGCACAUGGAACUCCCGGUGUAGCGGUGGAAUGCGUAGAGAUCGGGAAGAACACCCGUGGCGAAGGCGGUGUGCUGGGUUGCAACUGACGCUGAGGUGCGAAAGCGUGGGGAGCAAACAGG